CUUUUGUAGAAUGAACCGGCGAGUUACGAUCUGAUGCAAGGUUAAGCAGAAAAUGUGGAGCCGUAGCGAAAGCGAGUCUGAAUAGGGCGAAUGAGUAUUUGGUCGUAGACCCGAAACCAGGUGAUCUACCCUUGGUCAGGUUGAAGUUCAGGUAACACUGAAUGGAGGACCGAACCGACUUACGUUGAAAAGUGAGCGGAUGAACUGAGGGUAGCGGAGAAAUUCCAAUCGAACUUGGAGAUAGCUGGUUCUCUCCGAAAUAGCUUUAGGGCUAGCCUCAAGUGAUGAUUAUUGGAGGUAGAGCACUGUUUGGACGAGGGGCCCCUCUCGGGUUACCGAAUUCAGACAAACUCCGAAUGCCAAAUAAUUUAACUUGGGAGUCAGAAUGUGGGUGAUAAGGUCCAUAUUCGAAAGGGAAACAGCCCAGACCACCAGCUAAGGUCCCAAAAUAUAUGUUAAGUGGAAAAGGAUGUGGCGUUGCCCAGACAACUAGGAUGUUGGCUUAGAAGCAGCCAUCAUUUAAAGAGUGCGUAAUAGCUCACUAGUCGAGUGACACUGCGCCGAAAAUGUACCGGGGCUAAACAUAUUACCGAAGCUGUGGAUUGUCCUUUGGACAAUGGUAGGAGAGCGUUCUAAGGGCGUUGAAGCAUGAUCGCAAGGACAUGUGGAGCGCUUAGAAGUGAGAAUGCCGGUGUGAGUAGCGAAAGACGGGUGAGAAUCCCGUCCACCGAUUGACUAAGGUUUCCAGAGGAAGGCUCGUCCGCUCUGGGUUAGUCGGGUCCUAAGCUGAGGCCGACAGGCGUAGGCGAUGGAUAACAGGUUGAUAUUCCUGUACCACCAUUAUUCGUUUUAAGCGAUGGGGGGACGCAGUAGGAUAGGCGAAGCGUGCUGUUGGAGUGCACGUCCAAGCAGUGAGAUUGAGUGUUAGGCAAAUCCGGCACU
rnacentral:rRNA from 1 species